AACGAACGCUGGCGGUAGGCUUAACACAUGCAAGUCGAACGCUCGUAGCAAUACGGGAGUGGCAGACGGGUGAGUAACGCGUGGGAACAUACCCUUUGGUUCGGAAUAACUGAGAGAAAUUUCAGCUAAUACCGGAUGUGCCCUUCGGGGGAAAGAUUUAUCGCCAAAGGAUUGGCCCGCGUCUGAUUAGCUAGUUGGUGAGGUAACGGCUCAACUAGGCGACGAACAGUAGCUGGUCUGAGAGGAGGAUCAGCCACACUGGGUCUUAGACACGGCCCAGCCUCCUACGGGAGGCAGCAGUGGGGAAUAUUGGACAAUGGGGGCAACCCUGAUCCAGCCAUGCCGCGUGAGUGAUGAAGGCCUUAGGGUUGUAAAGCUCUUUCGUCAGGGAAGAUAAUGGCGGUACCUGAAGAAGAAGCCCCGGCUAUCUUCGUGCCAGCCGCCGCAGUAAGAC
rnacentral:rRNA from 1 species